UACGUAGGGGGCAAGCGUUAUCCGGAUUUACUGGGUGUAAAGGGAGCGUAGGUGGCAAGGCAAGUCAGAAGUGAAACCCUCGGGCUCAACCUGAGGCAUGCUUUUGAAACUGUCAAGCUGGAGUGCUGGAGAGGUAAGCGGAAUUCCUAGUGUAGCGGUGAAAUGCGUAGAUAUUAGGAGGAACACCAGUGGCGAAGGCGGCUUACUGGACUGUAACUGACGUUGAGGCUCGAAAGCGUGGGGAGCAAACAGG
rnacentral:rRNA from 1 species